rnacentral:rRNA from 1 species
UACAUGGGGUGCAAACGUUGCUCGGAAUUAUUGGGCGUAAAGCGCGUGUAGGCGGCCUUGCAAGUCGGAUGUGAAAGCCCACGGCUCAACCGUGGAAGUGCAUCCGAAACUGCAUAGCUUGAGUCUCGGAGAGGAAGGUGGAAUGCUUGGUGUAGAGGUGAAAUUCGUAGAUAUCAAGCAGAACACCUGCGGCGAAGGCGGCCUUCUGGACGAUGACUGACGCUGAGACGCGAAAGCGUGGGGAGCAAACAGG